rnacentral:rRNA from 1 species
AGAGUUGAUCAUGGCUCAGGAUGAACGCUAGCGACAGGCUUAACACAUGCAAGUCGAGGGGCAGCAUAGAAGUAGCAAUACUUGGUGGCGACCGGCGCACGGGUGAGUAACGCGUAUGCAACCUACCUAUCAGAGGGGAAUAACCCGGCGAAAGUCGGACUAAUACCGCAUAAAACAGGGGCACCGCAUGGUGAUAUUUGUUAAAGAAAUUCGCUGAUAGAUGGGCAUGCGUUCCAUUAGGUAGUUGGUGAGGUAACGGCUCACCAAGCCGACGAUGGAUAGGGGAACUGAGAGGUUGGUCCCCCACACUGGUACUGAGACACGGACCAGACUCCUACGGGAGGCAGCAGUGAGGAAUAUUGGUCAAUGGGCGGGAGCCUGAACCAGCCAAGUCGCGUGAAAGGAAGAAGGAUCUAUGGUUCGUAAACUUCUUUUGCAGGGGAAUAAAGUGCAGGACGUGUCCUGUUUUGUAUGUACCCUGAGAAUAAGGAUCGGCUAACUCCGUGCCAGCAGCGGC